CCUACGGGGGGCAGCAGUGGGGGAUAUUGCACAAUGGGGGAAACCCUGAUGCAGCGACGUCGCGUGGGUGAAGAAGCGCCUCGGCGCGUAAAGCCCUGUCAGCAGGGAAGAAAAUGACGGUACCUGAAGAAGAAGCCCCGGCUAACUACGUGCCAGCAGCCGCGGUAAUACGUAGGGGGCAAGCGUUAUCCGGAUUUACUGGGUGUAAAGGGGGCGCAGACGGCGAUGCAAGCCAGGAGUGAAAGCCCGGGGCCCAACCCCGGGACUGCUCUUGGAACUGCGUGGCUAGAGUGCAGGAGGGGCAGGCGGAAUGCCUGGGGUAGCGGGGAAAUGCGUAGAUAUCAGGAGGAACACCGGUGGCGAAGGCGGCCUGCUGGACUGCAACUGACGUUGAGGCCCGAAAGCGUGGGGAGCAAACAGGAUUAGAUACCCGAGUAGUC
rnacentral:rRNA from 1 species